GAGACACCCUUAUGGGGCAGGACUUGCUUCAGUGGGGCUUUGGUGCUCACUGAGUCUGUCUCUUGAGUGUGUCCCU
rfam:Myotis lucifugus cont2.1220, whole genome shotgun sequence.